GGGCGGAUGGCACAGUGGUAGCGCGCUUGCCUCGCACUUCCUUUUACAGCGGGGGAAAGUAGUUGCAUGAAGUCCAGGGUUCAAUCCCGUCUUCGUCCA